GUCACUGUAACACAAUGCGUAGUGCGUUGGAUUUUUAAUCCAAGGUCGUGGUUUCGAAUUCUACCUGGGAUG